GGGCUCGUGGCUCAGCAGUAGAGCGUCUCGUUCGCAACGAGAAGGUCGCGGGUGCGAUUCCCGCCGAGUCCA
rnacentral:tRNA from 1 species